UUGUGAUGAUCUCUUUCCUGUCUACCCGUCCACUACCCACCUCCCUGAACACCUUUGUACCUCUCCUACCCACCCAACAUUUAUUAACUUUUCAUUUUCAUUUUCUUCAUUCCACGACGUGUUUCCUCACUCCCUAUACAAACUUCUCACCUUCUGUAUCUAUCUGAGCUGAGUAAAUGUACAAAGGCAUCGUAAAUCAAAGAUUUACAACCGCCCGGAGUGGAAAUAACAAUCAAAUGUGUUCAGGCAGGAUUAAAGACACAUCUCACUCCACACCCAGCUGAUCAUUUUCCUCUGAUUUAUUUGCACUCAAAUCAUGUGAUAAAAAGCUGCAGGAAUAAAAAAAGGGAGUGACAUAAAAAAAAGAAAAUUGUUGUUUAGCACCAGUGUACAUUUGGGACAAAUGAGAGGACACAACAGUGGACAGAAGACUUUUGCAGCAGCGUGACUCCUGGUCUGAACCAAAAACAUUGUGUGUGACACCACUGACACACACACAAAAACAAAGAGGUUUACAUAUUAAAAAAGUAUGCAAAAAACAUGACAUUUCAUUAGAGGAAAAAUGUAGCAGUUUCAGUUUCAAAAUUUCAGUGCUUUUUAUGAGGUUUUUUUGUGUUUUGUGUCAGAGCUUCCAUGAUCUGUUUGUUUGUUUGUUUGUUUGUUUGCAUCUCUACAUAUGAAUGAGAAACUAAAAAAAGCUUAUAACAUAAAGGUGUUUUCAGUAGUAACAUUUUUUUUUUGCAUGCAUGCUAAAACAAAUGAAUGUGCAACACUAGUGCCAACUGCAGGUGUCUAACAAAGUAACUGCACCGCAGGGGUAAUUCACAUUCAGUAGGGGCAGAACAGAAGUCUGAGGGGCAACAAAGCCAAAAGUUUAACCUUAAAAAUGUGAGUGUUUUUUAAAAAAAAACAAAACACAUUCACCUGCAGCAGUAGCAGAGAGAGCUAAUGAACUAAUGUGGCAUAAAAACAUAAAUAAACCCAUUCAGCCGUUAGCUCGAGUCACUAGCUCUCCAUCAGUCAGUUCUAUGCUUUAAUAACGACAGUUUAAUGUCACGCAGACGCCACCGCAACAAGUGAUUACAAUUCGCAGUUAUAAAAAAAACAAAAAAAACAUUUGUGACAUCAACUCAUGUAGAAAA